rnacentral:rRNA from 1 species
UACAGAGGUGGCAAGCGUUGUUCGGAAUUACUGGGCGUAAAGGGCGAGUAGGUGGCCAUCUAAGUCAGACGUGAAAUCCCCCGGCUUAACCUGGGAACUGCGUCUGAUACUGGACGGCUUGAGUAUGGGAGAGGAACGUAGAAUUCCAGGUGUAGCGGUGAAAUGCGUAGAUAUCUGGAGGAAUACCGGUGGCGAAGGCGGCAUCCUGGACCGGCAUUGACGCUGAGGCGCGAAAGCUAGGGGAGCAAACGGG